rnacentral:rRNA from 1 species
CCUACGGGAGACAGCAGUGAGGAAUAUUGGUCAAUGGACGAGAGUCUGAACCAGCCAAGUAGCGUGAAGGAUGACUGCCCUAUGGGUUGUAAACUUCUUUUAUAAAGGAAUAAAACGAGUCACGUAUUCCUUUUUGCAUGUACUUUAUGAAUAAGGAUCGGCUAACUCCGUGCCAGCAGCCGCGGUAAGACGGAGGAUUCGAGCGUUAUCCGGAUUUAUUGGGUUUAAAGGGAGCGUAGAUGGGUUGUUAAGUCAGUUGUGAAAGUUUUGCGCUCAACCGUAAAAUUGCAAUUGAUACUGGCAGUCUUGAGUAUAGUUGAGGUAGGCGGAAUUCGUGGUGUAGCGGCGAAAUGCUUAGAUAUCUCGAAGAACCCCGAUUGCGAAGGCAGCUUUCUA